rnacentral:rRNA from 1 species
CACCGCGGUUAUACGAGAGGCCCAAGCUGACAGACACCGGCGUAAAGAGUGGUUAGGAAAACACGAUAAAUUAGAGCCGAACGCUCCCAAAGCUGUCAUACGCACCCGGGAGUAAGAAGUACAACAACGAAAGUAGCUCUAUUAAUUCUGAACCCACGAAAGCUAAGGCA